AUUGAACGCUGGCGGAAUGCUUUACACAUGCAAGUCGAACGGUAGAGGGGGCAACCCCUCGAGAGUGGCGAACGGGUGAGUAAUAUAUCGGAACGUGCCCAGUCGUGGGGGAUAACGUAGCGAAAGUUACGCUAAUACCGCAUACGAUCUAAGGAUGAAAGCGGGGGAUCGCAAGACCUCGCGCGAUUGGAGCGGCCGAUAUCAGAUGAGGUAGUUGGUGGGGUAAAGGCUCACCAAGCCAACGAUCUGUAGCUGGUCUGAGAGGACGACCAGCCACACUGGAACUGCGACACGGUCCAGGCUCCUACGGGAGGCAGCAGUGGGGAAUUUUGGACAAUGGACGCAAGUCUGAGCCAGCCAUUCCGCGUGCAGGAUGAAGGCCCUCGGGUUGUAAACUGCUGUUGUACGGAACGAAAAGGUCUCUCUUAAUACGGGGGGCUAAUGACGGUACCGUAAGAAUAAGCACCGGCUAACUACGUGCCAGCCGCCGCAGUAA
rnacentral:rRNA from 1 species